GAGACAGCAGUCGCCGCGGUAAUACGAAGGGUGCAAGCGUUACUCGGAAUUACUGGGCGUAAAGCGUGCGUAGGUGGUGGUUUAAGUCCGUUGUGAAAGCCCUGGGCUCAACCUGGGAAUUGCAGUGGAUACUGGGUCACUAGAGUGUGGUAGAGGAUAGUGGAAUUUCCGGUGUAGCAGUGAAAUGCGUAGAGAUCGGAAGGAACAUCUGUGGCGAAGGCGACUAUCUGGGCCAACACUGACACUGAGGCACGAAAGCGUGGGGAGCAAACAGGAUUAGAUACCCCGGUAGUCCCUGUCUCUUAUAC
rnacentral:rRNA from 1 species